UGAGCACUGGGGUGUCCCAGAGGGAAAGCUCUGGGAAGGGAUGGGCAGGAGGACAUGGGUGGAUCAGGCUUUGGGGGCCAUUGGAGGAUGGAUUGUGUUGUGUGGGAUUGUCCCCACAGGGUAUGCAGCUGCUUUCAGCUCCCUGCCCACCCCCUUGGCACCCCCAGGGGCCUGGGCCCUUCCAGGGGCAGCUGCCCCGUGCAGGAAGCUGGAGGGAUGCCGGGGAAGGUGGCUGGAUGGGUGCCGCAGGCGGGAUGGACUCUGUGCCAGGGCUGGGCUUGUGGCCAGGGCUGGGGGCUGUGCCCAGCCGGGCUUUGCCCCGGGGGCUCUCGGGGAGGGGGCAGGGAGGAGUCCCGGCAGGGAUAAAUGUGCUCCUGCCCUUGUGCAGCCUCAGCCAGCGCUGCCCAGGCCCAGAGGAAGAUGAAGGUCGCUGUGCUCAGCGUGGCCCUGCUCUUCACCAUCCUGAUGAGCCCCCCGGCAGAUGCCAAGCCCAUUGAGGUCGACAGCGUCCAAUGUGGGGAGGCAGGCAUCAUCGGCGGCCCGGUGGGUACCAGGGCUUGUGCUGGGCCCAGACCCUCCCCUCUGGUGGCCACCACCCUCCAGGCCAUCCCAGUGCUCCCCAGUCCACCCCAGUGUGCACUGGGGAGGCCCUUCCUCAGGGCCCCCACUCUAU